GAUGCAUUUGAUCUAGUUUGAAGCCGCAAAGAAAACAGCUCCCUCCUCAUCACCUUCAUCCUCGUCUUCAUCGCUUCGUUUUCUUUCAGGCUCCGAGUUAUUUGUAAGCGAAGGGUAGCCGAGCCUUCCGAGAAAAGCUUGGGGCGACGGACACUUGGGGGAGUGUAUUGUGAUGGUGUGUUCCUGAAACCUCGGACGCCAGCCUUCCGAGCCGUCAUUUCCGUUACCUUCGGAGAAGCGCUGGGCGGCCAUCUUGUCCCGUGUGAUGUACAGGGCGUUGACCAGGUAGAAGACUCCGCCCAGCACGGCGACGGCGGGACAGAGCAGGAAGCUGUACUGCAGGCUGUGGAAGCGCC